rnacentral:lncRNA from 1 species
AGAGCCUACCAGCUGUAUGUGCCCUAGCUCUUAGGGUACCUGAAGACUGGAGCCAGAAAAGUGGUAUUAUUCCUCCCUGAGGCAUAAGAGAAAACUUUUCCCUAACUGACUGCUUGGACUCCUAGGACUUCUGAAAUGACCAGUUACUGCCAGGCAGGUCAACUCUCAGGCCUCAACUGGGACAGUGAAUGGCAGGCAGCUGGGACAAGUGGCAGGGCAGCUGGGAUGGAUUGGCAGCAGGCAGCUGGAACAGGUGGCAGGCAGCUGGGACAAGUGGCAGGGCAGCUGGGAUAGACAGCAGGCAGCUGGAACAGGUGGCAGGCAGCUGGGACAGGUGGCAGGGCAGCUGGGAUAGACAGCAGGCAGCUGGGACAGGUGGCAGGGCAGCUGGGAUAGACAGCAGGCAGCUGGGACAGGUGGCAGGCAGCUGGGACAGGUGGCAGGCAGCUGGGACAGGUGGCAGGCAGCCAGGACUGGCAACACUUGCUGAAGAACAGUGAAACUUCAUAAAGAAGUCAACAGACCUUCCAAGUUACCAGGGGAACAUGCCAAGAAACCAUCAGUCCAAGGCUCGGGAUGAAGACAGGCUGGCCUCUGAGGUCUAGGAAAGUUGUGUUCAAAGUAAGUAAAAGGAAGAACCAACUGUCCUAAAAGCAUCCCUCCAGAGAGAACUCAAAAACAGCUUCAUGAUUUUGUUUAUCUAAGCAAGAUUGCCUGCAUCAAAUGCCCCUUAGUGAGGACAAAGGAACUAGGUCAUCUACUGGGUGUGCGCUUUCAUGCUGCUGGGUCCCGGGGGUAGCUUAUCGAAGGGAUUUUUCACUUCUUUGAAAAAGAAAACAAAAAUCACCAUGAGCUUAAAAAAAAUGGCAAUGAGCCCUAAGAAACAGCAACUUCUUUACAAUUUUUCCCCUGCUGAAUGUAAAUUGGAGGUUCUGAAAGAUCGGAGGAGUUGACUCUUCUAAGCUAGGACUAUAACUUUGUAAUGAAACACUUGCCUGGCAAGUUCCUGGGUUCAAGCCCUAGUCUACCAAAAUAAAUAAAUAAAAAUAAAAGCAAAUGAAAACAAAGGCCCAUAGGUGGAAACUGUAUUCAAUUGAGCAGUUUUAUAUGACCAAAUACGUAUUCAUCUGGUUCACUGUGGUGAGUACAUAUGAAGAGGGGAUGUGGCUGUGGACCAGAGGAGGGGCUGCUGGGACAGGAGCAGGCAGGCAGGACAGGCUAGGGAUGCAAGUGUGAAGACCCGAGUUUGGAUUCUCAGCACCCACAUAACACUCAGUGUGGCAGCGAACAUCUGUAACACCAGUUCCAGGGAGACAGAAACGGGAGGAUCCUUUGAUCUUCCCAAUCAACCAGUCUACCUGCCCCACAAAUGGCAGGUUCCAAAUUUAAUGAGAACUUCUGUCUCAAAAAGGAAUGUGGGAAGAGCGUGGGAUGGGCUCAGCAGGUCAGAGCUUAAUCCCCAGGACCCACUGUGGGAGAGAGAACCAACUCCCCAAAGUUGUCCUCCGAGCGCCAUCUGGGCAUGCUGGCCUCUGUGUGCUCACCAACACCCCCAAAAAGUACAGUCACACACACACUCACACAAAUAAAAAUUAUUCACAAAUGCAUAUGUGGAUGGGUCCACACACACACAUACAGAGAGAGAGAGAGAGAGAGAGAGAGAGAGAGAGAGAGAGAGAAUAUAGGCCACAUUAGAUUUGUACCCAAAUAGGAAGGCUUGCAGAAGAUUAUCUUGCUGUUACUUUCCAGAUAAGCUAAAUUUUCCGCUGCGGUCUGACUUGUGUGGUUUUAGAAGUAAUGUACCUGCUGAGAGUGAGUCCUGGCAUACAGCAGGCGUGAGCUUAGUCCUCAUUUCCCAGACCCACUCAACCCAUAGCCUUGCCGAGUAGGACCACUCAGUGAUGGGUGAUCUUUUUCACCAGCUCAACUUUCUCUUUAAAGGAAGGCUCAUGGCACUAACUCCUGCCGACUGGCAAACGG